GCGCCAAUAGCUCAAUUGGUAGAGCAGCUGACUCUUAAUCAGUUGGUUGGGGGUUCGAGUCCUCCUUGGCGCA
rnacentral:tRNA from 1 species